rnacentral:rRNA from 1 species
GGGAAUCUUCCACAAUGGACGAAAGUCUGAUGGAGCAACGCCGCGUGAGUGAUGAAGGGUUUCGGCUCGUAAAACUCUGUUGUUGGAGAAGAACAGGUGAUAGAGUAACUGUUAUCAUCUUGACGGUAUCCAACCAGAAAGCCACGGCUAACUACGUGCCAGCAGCCGCGGUAAUACGUAGGUGGCAAGCGUUGUCCGGAUUUAUUGGGCGUAAAGCGAGCGCAGGCGGUUUUUUAGGUCUGAUGUGAAAGCCUUCGGCUUAACCGGAGAAGGGCAUCGGAAACCGGGAGACUUGAGUGCAGAAGAGGACGGUGGAACUCCAUGUGUAGCGGUGAAAUGCGUAGAUAUAUGGAAGAACACCAGUGGCGAAGGCGGCUGUCUGGUCUGUAACUGACGCUGAGGCUCGAAAGCAUGGGUAGCGAACAGGAUUUAGAUACCCUGGUAGUCCAUGCCGUAAAACGAUGAGUGCUAA